rnacentral:rRNA from 1 species
AGGAUGAACGCUGGCGGCGUGCUUAACACAUGCAAGUCGAACGAAGCGCAUUGUUUGAAUUCUUCGGAAGGAAGAUAAUGUGACUGAGUGGCGGACGGGUGAGUAACGCGUGGGUAACCUGCCAUGUACAGGGGGACAACAGUUGGAAACGGCUGCUAAUACCGCAUAAGCGCACGAGAUUGCAUGAUCUAGUGUGAAAAACUCCGGUGGUAUAUGAUGGACCCGCGUCUGAUUAGCUAGUUGGUAAGGUAACGGCUUACCAAGGCGACGAUCAGUAGCCGACCUGAGAGGGUGACCGGCCACAUUGGGACUGAGACACGGCCCAGACUCCUACGGGAGGCAGCAGUGGGGAAUAUUGCACAAUGGGCGAAAGCCUGAUGCAGCGACGCCGCGUGAACGAAGAAGUAUUUCGGUAUGUAAAGUUCUAUCAGCAGGGAAGAAGAAAUGACGGUACCUGACUAAGAAGCCCCGGCUAACUACGUGCCAGCAGCCGCGGUAAUACGUAGGGGGCAAGCGUUAUCCGGAUUUACUGGGUGUAAAGGGAGCGCAGGCGGCCCGGCAAGUCUGAUGUGAAAACCCAAGGCUCAACCAUGGGAUUGCAUUGGAAACUGUCGAGCUAGAGUAUCGGAGGGGUAAGUGGAAUUCCUAGUGUAGCGGUGAAAUGCGUAGAUAUUAGGAGGAACACCAGUGGCGAAGGCGGCUUACUGGACG